UUUGCCAACUGGUGUGGGUGGGGGCCAUUUUGAACUCCCUGAUCAGCAGCUCCUUCUUCCUCCCUCCACAUUGGUGAAGCGGGGGAGGAAUGGGGUGGCAUCCACAGCAGCUCUUCCUCAACCAUUUGCCGAGGGAGAGGAGAGCCGCCAUGUCCCACCUAUUAUUAUUAUUAUUAUUACUACAUUUAUAUCCUGCUCUUCCUCCAAGGAGCCGUGUACUACAUACUUGAGUUUCUCCUCACAACAACCCUGUGAAGUAGGUUAGGCUGAGAGAGAAGUGACUGGCCCAGAGUCACCCAGCUAGUUUCAAAUGCAAAAUAAUAACAAUAAUGGCUGAAUGGGGAUUUGAACUCGGGUCUCCCUGGUCCUAGUCCAGCACUCUAACCACUACACCAACACCAGCACUCUAACCACUACACCAACACACACACACACACACACACACACACACACACACACACACACACACACCUCUCUCAGUGCUCUCAGGCUGAGGGCCUUCACAGACCUAGAGCCAGCCUUCGUUCAAUAGUGUAGACAAGCUUUCAGUCCUUCCAUUCUGGCAUGGGGGACGCUAUCCUCUUGAAGAGCAGAACCUCUGCAGUUCUGAACUGUCCCUUCUAGGGGGGGGAAGAUGGCCAUGACUCCUGCAAGGGAAGUAGUCUGCCUGGAGCAAAGCAGGGAGACUGGAGCGCCGCGGCGUAGCCCAACUCACCCACACGCUCCGAUUUUAGAGAGUCCCAGAUGUUGCAGUUAAAGUCGUCAUAUCCAGCCAGCAGGAGGCGCCCACUGCGAGAGAAUGCGAUUGAGAUACUGCAGUGUUUUCCCUGGAGACCCUGAGAAGGACAGUAAAACCCUGAGAGUUCAGACUAAAAGUGGAGAUCUGGCUAGUUGCUGACAAGGGGACAGCCUUUUUUGAAGACUGUGGAGUGAGAGAAUGAAGAUAAACUAUCACCUGAAUUACCUUUUUACUUUGAGUUACCAGGAUUGCAGUGGGGUUGAGUAUCCCUAAUCUGGACAUCCGGAAUACGGAAUGCUCCAAAAUCCAGAAACCACCACGGCUUUUUAAAUUUCCAAGGAGCUCUUCCAGGGAGAGAGGAGAAAAUACACCUGCUGGAAAGCAGGUGUAGGGAGAAGCCCAAGAUGGGAACGGGCUCAGUCCAGUGAGCUUCUCGCCCCCAGCAUUACCUCAAUCUGCUUCUUCAGCUGCUCAGCCUCCUGCUUCAUCUGCUCUAUUUCGCCCAUCUUGACAAACUAGCUUUGGGCCUCCCACUCAGGGUACCUGGGUCCUGGAUGGAGAGAGAGAGAAGUUGAGUGAUCCCACUUCUUUCAUGUCUUCAAUGCCCCUUAGAUCACGAAAGAGUCUGUUUAGCGCUGUUUAAUACUGGUGGCACCAAUGUGACAGAGAAAUAUGACAGAGUCUCUUACAGUUUGCUUACAGCAAGCCAUUCUGCAAAUCUUAGCUCAGGGCCAAAGCCAACCAGAGAACCUCGUCACUUACUUCACCUGCCACAGAUCAAACAGAGAAUGCUCACUAGGCAAAAUGGCGUGUGUCUCUUUGCCCAUCUGUCUGUCCGUCCUUUAAAUGCUCCUGUCCCUUUGUUGCCGCCACCACUUCUUAAAAUGCAUGUUGGAGGUGCAAGGUAGAAAAGUGAUGAUUGAGAUGAUACCUCAAAAACUGGCCCAACUGUAAAGAAGCAAGCUUCUGAGCAGCACUGAACUACUCAGCUACUGGACAAGAAUUGGGGGGAGGGAGAUGAUGAUCAUUGGCCCUGCAUCCAAUGCAUGCUUUCAAGGUGAGGUUACCAAGCUGGUAAGGAAAAUAAAAUUAACCCUAGUUCCUUGGGCACAAUAUCAAAAGCCUGAAUGCCUUCUACAGCCACUCUAGGGAAUCCUUCUAGUGGAUCAACUAUAAAUUCACCAUGGGCAAUUGUCAUCAUGUGCGCAGCUUUGUGUUGAAUUGAACUUUAAUAUGCAUCCAAAUGCCCUGUGUUUUCUUUCAGUUGCAGGGAACUGUAGCAUUUGCUUUAGAAUGCCACUCCGAAUCCAAAGUCCUAAUGCCUUUGACUAUUUUGCAGGGCAAGUUCUAACAGGGGUUAUCAAACUUGUCCCCUCUCAGGGUCUAUUAUAGUCUUUUAAACCCCAUUCAUUCCUCCCCUCCCUCAUUAAACAUGUAUAACUGCCCUGAGCACUGGGGAUAGGGCAGGAUGUAAUAUCUAUUAAAUAAAUUUGCUUGCAAUAAUUCA